GCCGGGGGGGCCCAUGGGGCCGGGAGGACCGCGCUCGCCAGGGGAACCGGAGGGACCUUGCUUGCCGGGUUCACCCUGCGGAGGGGAGAGGACAGAGGGGUGUCGGACACCGGGGGUCCAGCGCUACCGCGAGCACCUUUGGGACCAGGAGCACCAACAGCACCCUGUGGAGGAAGAAGAAGAGGAGGAGAGGGCAUCCAGCCGGGGGACGGCCGUACCUUGUCACCAGGAGCACCAGCGGGGCCGGGGGGGCCGAUGGGGCCAGUCAGACCUCGGAGACCGUCUUUGCCAGGAGCGCCGUCAGCACCUUUGGGACCGGGGUCGCCCUGGGAGAGGAAGAUGAUGGUGGGAUGGAGAUCUGGGCACCUACCUUGGGACCGGCAAUGCCAUCAGCACCAGGGAAACCGCGGCUGCCGGGAGCACCCUGCGAGGGACAGGAGAAGGGCAGGCCACAGUGGGGGUGUCCCCUCCUGUGCCCCCCGGGGAGGACACCCCAGCAGGGAGCAUCUCACCUGGGGACCGGGGGGACCGCGCUCUCCGGGACGGCCGGGCUUUCCAGCUUCACCCUAAGGAGAAGGACACCAGUGGCACGAGGACGUGCGUCCCCACGUGUUUCCGUAGCCGUCGGGAAGGGUGGGACGCCCCGUCCUGCCCUCUCCCCAUCCCAUCCCACCCGGCCUCCUGCCACCCGAAGGGCCCCUUGGGGCUGCUUGUCCCCAGAAAGAGAGGGGAGGAGGAGAUACUCACAGGAGCACCAGGAGGACCGGGGAGACCGCGGGGACCAGCUGGACCCUGGGAAGGAGAACAGAAAGUGGGGAUGAGUGGCUGCCAUGUCACCCUGUCCCCAUCUCUGUCACCAUCAUCACCCAUUCCCUGUCCCCGUUGCCACCCCAUCCCUGUCUCCAUUGACAGCCCCUUGCUGUCCUCGUUGCCACCCCAUCCCUGUCCCCAUUGUCACCCCACUGCUACCCCAUCACCACCCCAUGCCUGUCCCCAUCACCUCCAGGACUGACGCCGCUCCCCAUCCCUCCCACUUCCCACCGCUCGGCGGCAUCCUCGGCAUCGCCGGCACGGGAUGCUUCGCCCGGCUUC